rnacentral:rRNA from 1 species
UAGCGUAGGGUGCGAGCGUUGUCCGGAAUUAUUGGGCGUAAAGGGCUCGUAGGCGGUUUGUCGCGUCGGGAGUGAAAACCAGGUGCUUAACACCUGGCUUGCUUUCGAUACGGGCAGACUAGAGGUAUGCAGGGGAGAACGGAAUUCCUGGUGUAGCGGUGAAAUGCGCAGAUAUCAGGAGGAACACCGGUGGCGAAGGCGGUUCUCUGGGCAUGACCUGACGCUGAGGAGCGAGAGUGUGGGGAGCGAACAGG